rnacentral:rRNA from 1 species
AGUGAACGCUGGCGGUAGGCCUAACACAUGCAAGUCGAACGGCAGCACAGUAAGAGCUUGCUCUUACGGGUGGCGAGUGGCGGACGGGUGAGGAAUACAUCGGAAUCUACUUUUUCGUGGGGGAUAACGUAGGGAAACUUACGCUAAUACCGCAUACUACCUACGGGUGAAAGCAGGGGAUCUUCGGACCUUGCGCGAUUGAAUGAGCCGAUGUCGGAUUAACUAGUUGGCGGGGUAAAGGCCCACCAAGGCGACGAUCCGUAGCUGGUCUGAGAGGAUGAUCAGCCACACUGGAACUGAGACACGGUCCAGACUCCUACGGGAGGCAGCAGUGGGGAAUAUUGGACAAUGGGCGCAAGCCUGAUCCAGCCAUACCGCGUGGGUGAAGAAGGCCUUCGGGUUGUAAAGCCCUUUUGUUGGGAAAGAAAAGCAGCAGGUUAAUACCCCGCUGUUCUGACGGUACCCAAAGAAUAAGCACCGGCUAACUUCGUG